rnacentral:rRNA from 1 species
ACGAACGCUGGCGGCGUGCUUAACACAUGCAAGUCGAACGGAAAGGCCCUGCUUUUGUGGGGUGCUCGAGUGGCGAACGGGUGAGUAACACGUGAGUAACCUGCCCUUGACUUUGGGAUAACUUCAGGAAACUGGGGCUAAUACCGGAUAGGAGCUCCUGCUGCAUGGUGGGGGUUGGAAAGUUUCGGCGGUUGGGGAUGGACUCGCGGCUUAUCAGCUUGGUGGUGGGGUAGUGGCUUACCAAGGCUUUGACGGGUAGCCGGCCUGAGAGGGUGACCGGCCACAUUGGGACUGAGAUACGGCCCAGACUCCUACGGGAGGCAGCAGUGGGGAAUAUUGCACAAUGGGCGGAAGCCUGAUGCAGCAACGCCGCGUGCGGGAUGACGGCCUUCGGGUUGUAAACCGCUUUCGCCUGUGACGAAGCGUGAGUGACGGUAAUGGGUAAAGAAGCACCGGCUAACUACGUG